UCAGAGUCACAAAAUUUACCCUAUGACCUAGACCAGUUCAUCCACUAACUCGUCCCACUGCGUCAAGGCACAAGGCAUUGCAACCCGUACCUAGAGUUAGCAUUUUCCGUUAGAUUGAGGCCUAACGUUUUUCAACCUGUACCACAACCUAACAUUGUGUUAGACCGGACUAGUCAAAUAUCAGAGUACUCAGGAAGCGCAUAUAAAAUAAUUACUUUUAUUGAUUCAAGAAAUACCCAUACAUUGAUAUAAUUCGAGACCGGUCCCGGCCUAAUGCCAAAUCGAGUUAACUAAACACAAAUCCACAAAUACCGUUAACAAAAGGCAUGAAAAUCUACACCGGCGGUCCUAACAUCCAGCACCAAGCUAUCCGAUCAUCCUUACUAAAGCUACCUACAAAAAGGACAACAGAGUUGGAUGAGUAAUCUAGAAUUACUCAGUGAAUUAUGAUCCCCAACUAAAAAAUACAAC
rnacentral:lncRNA from 1 species